AUUGAACGCUGGCGGAAUGCUUUACACAUGCAAGUCGAACGGCAGCACAGUGACAACUCGCUUUGCGGGGGGCCGACUGGUGAGUAGUACAUCAGAACGUGCCCGGUCAUUGUUUCUAACGUGGCAACGUAUACACUCAUACCCCAUUAGCUCUGAGGAUCAACGGGUGAAACCUUCGGGCCUCCGGCCCUCGCGCGAUCCGAUGUCCGAUUAGGUAGUUGGUGGGGUAAAGGCCUACCAAGCCGACGAUCUGUAGCUGGUCUGAGAGGAUGAGCAGCCACACUGGAACUGAGACACGGUCCAGACUCCUACGGGAGGCAGCAGUGGGGAAUAUUGGACAAUGGGCGCAAGCCUGAUCCAGCCAUACCGCGUGCAGGACGAAGGCCUUCGGGUUGUAAAGUGCUUUUGUAUGGAACGAAAAGGAGCUGGUUAAUACCCGGGGGUUAUGACGGUACCGAAAGAAUAAGCACCGGCUAACUACGUG
rnacentral:rRNA from 1 species